AGUCAGUGCAGCUUUUUAUCUGGCAACAAUCACACUGAAUAGCGUCCGUGAUCUGUGGCGUUCACAACUUUUAGUCGGGCAGUCAGCUGCUGACAGCUCGAAAGCUUCGAAAGUAUCAACGAUGACCCGAAAUAACAAGAGGAAUGUUGCUGUCGGUGAAGCGUUUCGCAUAGCCGUCACGACGGCACUUCAAAAAUUCUAUCAUACUGAAGACCAGACAGAAUAUGAGUUUCCGUCAUCAUUCACGGCUGAGGAGCGAGCAUUUAUACACAACUACUGUCAGACGCUGAAUCUGAAGUCAAAAAGCAGAGGGAAAGGAUCGAAUCGUUUCCUUACUGCCUAC